CUUCUGAGACUGUCAACAGCGAGCUUCACACUGCACUUGCGCAGAGAGCAGAAAGACUAGUAAGUCCCAGUUCUCAAAAUCAAGGAAGCGAAAAUGGAGCAAAGGAAGCCUAGAAUAUAGUGGGACUAUUUUUAGGCACCACAAAGUGUUUGCAGUGGCAUGACGGAUGUCUGUGUGUGAUGUAGGGAGAGAAGAGGGAUGACACAUCCAUUUCAUGGGGGCUGGGAGGUUUACUAAGUCUCCACAGAGUUUAACCUUGAAAAGUGACUGGAAAUCCAGCCAACACUCUGAGAGUAAAAGAAGACUUAAAACUCCAGGCCGAGGAUGCGGGAAGCUGAAAUUGUUCAGGCGACAGAGAAGGAACCGGUGGAGAGAUCCUGAUGUUGACAUGCAGGGAGUGUUCAACAUUGCCUUUGCAGCAGGGUGCUGGAAGAGAGAGAAAGAAACAGACUGUGGUGGAGAGGUUGGCCUGGGGUAAGAAGGAUUCUCCCGCCUUUGAGUCACUAAGGGGAUCACAGACCUCCGGACAUGCUCUAUGCUUCGUACUAAAACCAGCAAAGGACAAUCAGACAUGGCUACUAUCCAGAGGAGCAUAGAAUCUAAUGGAAGAGAUGAAGAGCCAACCUGUAAACACACACAGGCACAUGUACAAGGAUUAUAAUGUUAUAACGUGC
rnacentral:lncRNA from 1 species